rnacentral:rRNA from 1 species
GAGGAGGAAGGCAUUAAGGUAAUAACCUUAGGGAUUGACGUACUUGCAGAAGAAGCACCGGUUAAUUCCGGCCAGCAGCCGCGGUAAUACGGAGGGUGCAAGCGUUAAUCGGAAUUACUGGGCGUAAAGCGCACGCAGGCGGUCUGUUAAGUCAGAUGUGAAAUCCCCGGGCUCAACCUGGGAACUGCAUUUGAAACUGGCAGGCUUGAGUCUUGUAGAGGGGGGUAGAAUUCCAGGUGUAGCGGUGAAAUGCGUAGAGAUCUGGAGGAAUACCGGUGGCGAAGGCGGCCCCCUGGACA